rnacentral:rRNA from 1 species
CCCUUAGAUGUCCUGGGCCGCACGCGCGCCACACUGAGUGUCUGAGAUAUGAGUCUGCCUAGCCGGCGAGGUCUAGGUAAUCGCUGAAAGACACAUCAUGCUUGGGAUAGAUUAUUGCAGAUAUUAAUCUUGAACGAGGAAUUCCUAGUAAGCGCAAGUCAACAGCUUGCGUUGAUUACGUCCCUGCCCUUUGUACACACCGCCCGUCGCUACUACUGAUUGGAUGUUUAAGCGAGGUUCUCGAACUGCUAGCGACUUAGCUUCGGUGAGGUCGCCGUGUGGGAAGUGAACCUAGCUUUGGUGUCUAGAGGAAGUAAAAGUCGUAUCA